CGGUUGCCAUAACAGCAGUACGCGACGCCUCCUUGCGCCUUUCCAGUCUUGAGAAACAAUCCUUCCCGGUCGCGGCCAAGACCCCUCCGGGACCUCAUCUUUAGUGGAGAAGAACCAGGGAGGAGCACUGAGCUUGAUUUGACUCUGGAGCCUUCGGCCAGGAAGAAAAAUGUCAGAUGAAGAUGAUCUGGAAGACUUCGAUGCAGACCAGGAUGAUCUGGAAAAGGAAGAGGAUGAGAAGGAGACAGAGGAGUGGGAGGAGUACAGGAAGGAGGGAGAAGACGUCUCUGAGGAAUGGUUGCCCAUCCCCCUCACGGAGGACAUGAUGAAGGAAGGGCUCUCCUUGCUCUGCAAGACCGGCAGUGGACUGGCUCAUGCUUAUGUCAAGCUGGAGGUUAAAGACAGGGAUCUGACAGACAUCCAGUUGUUGCGUUCCUACAUCCAUCUGCGCUAUGUGGAUGUGUCUGAGAACCACCUGACAGACUUGUCCCCGCUCAACUUCCUUACACACCUGCUCUGGCUCAAGGCUGAUGGCAACCGUCUGCGGAGUGCACGACUGAAUGAACUGCCCUACCUGCAGAUUGCCAGUUUUGCCUAUAACCAGAUCACUGACACUGAGGGCAUCUCUCACCCUCGUCUGGGCAGCCUGGAUCUCAAAGGUAACCGCAUUCGCAUGGUGACAGGUCUGGACCCCCAAAAGCUGAUCAGCCUGCACACUUUGGAGCUUCGGGGGAACCAGCUGGAGACAACCCUGGGAAUCAACCUUCCUAAGCUGAAGAACCUCUUCCUGGCCCAGAACAUGCUGAAGAAGGUGGAGGGCUUGGAGAACCUAAGGAUUCUCACUACCUUGCAUCUCCGAGACAACCAGAUUGAAACUCUGAGUGGCUUCUCCAAGGAAAUGACAUCACUGCAGUAUCUCAACCUGAGGGGCAACAUGGUGACCCACGUGGGAGAGCUGGCCAAGCUGCGGGAGCUGCCCAGGCUGCGAGCCUUGGUGCUCUUGGACAACCCGUGUACGGAUGACAGUGACUACCGCCUGGAGGCCCUGGUGCAGAUAGCGCACCUCGAACGCCUGGAUAAAGAUUUCUACGAGGAGGAGGAGCGGGCUGAGGCUGAUGAGAUCCGUCAGAGGAUGAAGGAGGCCCAGGGGCAGGAGGCUGAGCCCGAGCACGACUUCGAACCGGAGCAGCCAUCCGUGGAGCAGCAGCACUUCUAGCCUCCAAGGGUAGUAAGGAAGCUGGCAAAGGCCGGGAAGAGGAGGCCGAGGGUCCGUCGGGGAGAUCAAAUACCCUGGCCGCAAGACCCGAGAAGACUCCCAGUUAGGGGGCUGCCGUGAUCGCACCCCUCAUCCUGAGAGCGAGCUUGCCUUCUCUUGCCUCGCCCCUGGGAGUCCAUCACAGCCUGCUGCCCGGGCUCCGUGGGGCGCCUGGGCCGCGUCUGCGGGGGCCCUGAGCCCCGCUGGGAACCUGGGUGUGUGUGGGGAUGUGUAUGUGGGGGGCGGGGGCAGCCUCGGGCAGGUGUAGGGAAAUCAGGCCUGGAUGGGCCCAGGGGAUGCUCCUGGAGUUGGCUGCAGAGUUGCUGCGGAGGCGGCUGGGUGUGUUACAACAGUUCGGUUUUCAAAUAAAGAGACGUUUUGAUA